UCGUUUGAACCCAGGAGGUGGAAGUUGCAGUGGGCAGAGAUCGCGCCAGCCUGGGCGACAAAAGCGAAACUCCGACUCAAAAACAAAAGGGAAAUGAGGGUGCCUCCUAUGGUCAAGAGGCUGUCCCGCAGAUGAACAGUGCAGCCAGCAAGAGAAAGGAUCCCGAACAAAAAGCUAAGCUACCUUUGAAUGGCAGGGUGUGCUCUGGAGCCUGGGAAUGCAGUGGACAGGCACAGCCAGCACCCGCACGCUCUCACGCAUGGCAAGCAGGAACUGCUCUCUCCAGGGCCCCAACCAAAGUUGUGGGAGGCUGCUACAAUCCAACCAGCUCAUCUCCAAAGGGAUACUGCCCUCAGGUCAGCUGUGCUCACUGGCAAAGAACAUUCUGGUAAAAACCUCCUCUCACCCCAGGAAACUCCACAAAGCUAGGCCCAGUACAGAAAACCAGGCGGAGGCAGGGGGUGUUAGGGAGGGAACGCCACUACCUUCCUCCACCCCCCAGGCUGCCACUACCAAGGACAACUGUGGUGAAGCAGCAGAACCAAUGGCCCCGUCGGGUUCCAGGCUUACAGCUUACCUGUGGAUAAGCCACCCCUCUCCGACCCAUCAAGACUCUUUUAUAAAAUGAGGCUAAUGACAUGGGAUGAGGGAAUGACACCGGAUUCUUGCUGUGCUCCUACCAGCAACCCACGUCCGAAGGCUCUGCCCACACUGGUCCGUGACCACAGGCAGACGGGGAGCUGGCCCACAGCAGGCAAGUGGUCGCCAAUGCUCUCUCGCGGUGCAACUCAGCAAAACGCAGCUCACCCCAACCAGCACGGAAGCCCCGGCAACAGGUAUACUUUAAACACCACUGAUCAACAUGAACCCCAGGAUGCGAGUUACCUCUGAACGGGAGGGGCCAGAAACUGCAAUCUGAAGGGCCACUCAAGCCUUCUGGUAAAUCCUGUUUUUCAAGUAGGGUAGUGGGCACAUGUGAGUUUAAUUUUCAUUCUUUAAACUCUGCAUAUAUCUUCUGUGUGCCACUUAUAGGUAUAACUUUAAAUGCUAUUGUUUAAAAUAAAUAAAAUGCCAUUUUUCUCUGCUAAAAAAAAUUGUUUUUAUUAAGUGCUUGCUGUUUGCCACACAGUCUUCUGAGCAUUUUACAUGUAUUAUCGUGGUUAGUCCUGAAAGCAACUUGGGGGUGGGUACCAUCAGCAUCCUUUCUACAGAUGGGGACACUGAGUACACAGCAAGUUUUUGUCCAGUCAAACACUCCACAGUGAGGUCAUGCACAAUUCUCAAGCAGAAUCCAACUGCAGAGCCCACACUCCCAGCCCCAUCAUGAGUAGGGGGUCUGCCCAUCUGAGGCUGAUGUGUGUUCACCAGGGAACCAGGAGGGACUGGGGGAAAACUGCAGCACCUAAUCCUUAGCGCCUCGCCACACCGCAGGCCACGCCCUUCUGACCUGCCCAUUCCCCUACAUGGAAU